UACGUAGGGGGCAAGCGUUGUCCGGAUUUAUUGGGCGUAAAGAGCGUGUAGGCGGUCUUACAGGUCAGCUGUGAAAUCUCCACGCUCAACGUGGAGGCGCCACGUGAGACUGCCCUGACUCGAGUCCGGUAGGGGAGCGUGGAAUUCCCGGUGUAGCGGUGAAAUGCGCAGAGAUCGGGAGGAACACCCGUAGCGAAGGCGGCGCUCUGGGCCGGUACUGACGCUGAGGAGCGAAAGCGUGGGGAGCAAACAGG
rnacentral:rRNA from 1 species